UCUUCAUUUCACGUGCUCUCUCACCGGUCAGAGAGACGAGAGAGAGUGUGCGAAAUGAAGAGA
rfam:Pristionchus pacificus strain PS312 contig10044, whole genome shotgun sequence.